CGGGUUAAGAGCAUCAAUUGGAAGCCAUGCAAAUGCCCGAUCCAACCGGGAGGUCAUGAGUGUGGAUAUUAUGUCAUGCGAUACAUGUAUGACAUCGUGACAAAAUAUUCAUCUGUUGAUAAUUUGGAUGGGGCAUUUGAAAGCGAUAGUCCGUAUUCUAUCGACGACAUAAAUGAUCUUCGAGAGCAUUGGUCAAAGUUCUUCUUUUCCGAG